GACAGAGGUGCCAAGCGUUAGGCGGAAUCACUGGGCUUAAAGCGUGUGUAGGCGGAUGCCUAAGUACCUUGUGAAAUCCCACGGCUCACCCGUGGAACUGCUGGGUAUACUGGGUCUCUUGAGCCACCUAGGGGCAAGUGGAACAAACGGUGGAGCGGUGAAAUGCGUAGAUAUCGUUUGGAACGCCAAUGGUGAAAACAACUUUCUGGGGGUGUGCCGACGCUGAGACCCCAAAGCCAGGGGAACAAACGGG
rnacentral:rRNA from 1 species